rnacentral:rRNA from 1 species
CUGGGCUUAAAUGUAGAGUGCAUGAGUGGGAAACCAUUCUUUUCUUCGGAACUCUUUACAAGGUGCUGCAUGGUUGUCGUCAGCUCGUGCCGUGAGGUGUCGGGUUAAGUCCCAUAACGAGCGCAACCCCUACCUUUAGUUGCCAUCAGGUAAUGCUGGGGACUCUAGAGGAACUGCCUACGCAAGUAGUGAGGAAGGUGGGGAUGACGUCAAAUCAGCACGGCCCUUACGUCCAGGGCUACACACGUGCUACAAUGGUCGGUACAGAGGGCAGCUACCACGCGAGUGGAUGCAAAUCUCCAAAGCCGAUCUCAGUUCGGAUCGAAGUCUGAAACUCGACUUCGUGAAGUUGGAUUCGCUAGUAAUCGCGCAUCAGCCAUGGCGCGGUGAAUACGUUCCC